rnacentral:lncRNA from 1 species
CUCUAUCAUUAUACCUCAUAAAAUUUGUUAUAUGACAAUUCCUUCUUUAUUCUUGCCUUUUCUUUCUUUUUCAUUUCCUCUUAUGCUUCGCCCUCCCACCUUUCCACCCACCCACUUUUUAAUUAAUUUAUUUUAUUAUUGUCUCUUUUUUAAUUUUUUUUAUUUAAUCCAAAUGCUUUAGGCUUAGUUUGGUAUUGAGAUAUGCUUCUGAGUUUUUCGGUGGGACCGCAGAAAAUAUAUCAUAACCGACUCAAUGUGAUAUACGGAACGCUAUAUUACAUACAGAAAUAAACAUGAUAUUUUUUUAAAAGUAUUUUCUCACCGCGCACGUAACACAAUCUCUCUCCAAACGAAGGCUUAUUAUUAUAACAACCAUGCAUUGCCCAUCCCAUCUUUUUUUAAAAAAAAAAAAAUUUCUAAAUAA